GACGAACGCUGGCGGCGUGCUUAACACAUGCAAGUCGAGCGGAAAGGCUCCUUCGGGGGUACUCGAGCGGCGAACGGGUGAGUAACACGUGAGUAAUCUGCCCUGUGCUUCGGGAUAGCCACCGGAAACGGUGAUUAAUACCGGAUAUGACCAGCUUACGCAUGUUUGUUGGUGGAAAGUUUUUUCGGCGCAGGAUGUGCUCGCGGCCUAUCAGCUUGUUGGUGGGGUAAUGGCCUACCAAGGCUUCGACGGGUAGCCGGCCUGAGAGGGUGACCGGCCACACUGGGACUGGGACACGGCCCAGACUCCUACGGGAGGCAGCAGUGGGGGAUAUUGGACAAUGGGCGGAAGCCUGAUCCAGCAACGCCGAGUGAGGGAUGACGGCCUUCGGGUUGUAAACCUCUUUCAGCACAGACGAAGCGCCCUGUCGGGUGGUGACGGUAUGUGCAGAAGAAGGACCGGCCAACUACGUGCCAGCCGCCGCAGUAACAC
rnacentral:rRNA from 1 species